rnacentral:ncRNA from 2 species
CUACCUUCGGGGUGCCGUGGUGUUCGGGAAGUCCGGUGGGAAUCCGGCGCGGCCCUCGCCACUGUGCACGGGAAGUCGUUCCGCCCCGUGCUCCGCACCCCCGCGGGGGCGGAGCACGGACCACGCCACUGGGAGCGCACCCCCUCCGGGGUGCGGCCUGGGAAGGCGGGCGGGACGGCGCGGCCCGGCAGCCAGGAGACCGGCCACGGCACCGAUGACCGU